AUUGUUGCUGUACUUCCACAUGGAGAGGUGCCUAUAUUGACCCUCUAAUUGGUUGAGCAUUUCUGUUCUUGCCCCUGAACCCUCAAGUUCAAAUACAUAUUGCACAACAUAAUUCCCAAAUGGAUCUUGGGACAGGAUAAGAGCAUUGGCAAUAAUUGUAGAUAGCAAGUGGCAUCUAUGCUCACCAUCAGAAUGGCCAAGGCAUUUUUAAAAUACAAGCAGCCAUAACAGUCUGCUGCAGGUUCAACACAGUGAGCACUCUUAGCUUCAAGAAGGAACUCGAUAUAUCCAGGCAUCAAGUACUGCGAGCAGCAUUCUUGUAAUCCCCAUCUGAGCACAAAUUCCCAUUCCCAAUGUCGUUAAGGUUAACAGCAGUAGCCUUCAUUUUCUCAACAUCCGUUUCAACUUGAACAUUCAUUCUCUCCUUGUUAUAAAAAAAAUUCUAUUUCAAAGUUCUUCGCGGACUCCUUUUCCAAAGUCUGAAUGUGUGGUGGGAUCACUAUGCACAAAUCUCAAAUUACCGUGUUCCCCCUUCUUUGAUUGAUCACCCUUUCUUUUGUAGUAAUCUCAUCAGGAACUGAUUUUUCCAAGCUAUAAUUCAUGGUGUUUUGGUCCAGAUUUUAGUCCAAGAGAUGCAGGCCUUUGAUGGUCGAACUUCCUUUUUAUCUCAAGCAAUUCACGAACAUAAAUUAUGGGAAUAUCACUAGGCUGAACCAUAGUACCAGUUUCGCUGUCUUGUCAGACUGAAUAUAGUAAAAUUGGUUCCUAAAUAGGAUCUCUUCUCUUUUCUAUGCCUAUUUUAGGUAGACAUGGCAUUUUGAUUCCUCGAUGCGACACAAAGCGGAGGAGGGGGAUAUAUUGGUUCGAAUUUUGACUGAUUCAACCCAUUGUGUUUCUGGAAUCCUGUUAGAGGAACUGAAGAUUAUCAUAUCUUGUCAUUCUUUCAGAUUCAAGGAUGCAAUCUUUACUGACAGCACCAGAAGCAAUAGCAACAACCACAACUACAAGUUCGGCUUGAACUGUUUCAGGUAUUGUAUCAUCUAAGAUCUAAAGACCUUCUGGAAUUAGACAAUUUCGAUUAUUGGAUAGAAUAUCCUCUUCACUAUUAGCACCAAUAGCAUUGUCACAGAUCUGCUGAUGGGUUAGUGAAGAAUUAGAAUUUGCCAGAAGCUGAUUUAAGACCCCCAUCUGGUGAGAAACUCGAAGACAAUCAGCAUGGUUAUUAACUUCUCGAUGAGGAUGUACAUAAGGCUGCAAAUAAAUUGUGAUUGCUGGAAUAUCCAUCCAGCAUUGCUGUGAAUCAAACUCCACUUGUUGUGGUCGUACAGCAAAGGGAUCCUCAAAUGUUGACAUGGUGUCAGCCUUUGAAUGAGCAGCUUCAACAGUAGCAGCAAACUUUCCCAGAUUUGAUGCAGCAGAUCUCUUCACCAUUGGCAUGUCAUCUUGACAAAGCUGGCUAUAUAUUGCUAUAUUGAAGUAGAUGACGUAUUCUAGAAAACUGUGCUUGUCAACUGGAUUAAUUUCUCAUGACAUUCAGAGGAACCACGUACUUCUUCAUUUGAAUCUUCCCACCAAGCAUUUAAUUGAAUUCUGGAUUCUUAUAUUACCAAUAGGAUAAACAAACUAAUUCCUGUAGCUUCACUUACAAGAUCGUAAAUACCUUGCUGCCAUUCGUUCU